rnacentral:lncRNA from 1 species
UGUGUUGAAAGGAGAGUCUCUCCAUGACUUCUGAUCCGCCUGCAAUAGACCUACUGGCUCGGCAGCAAGUGCAUUAGGCUAAAUAUGCUUCCUCCAUUGACUCUGAAGGUAACAGCCCUAAAUGCCUCAUUAAAUUUUCACGGGUGACUGAGAGAAGCCAUGAGAAAAACACCACGAUAGCAGCGGGGGCGACGGCGGCUGCGCCCCCCCCCAGUGCCUCGGGAGCCCCACGGGGGCCGUGGGCCACCACCCCGCCUCGGGGGGCGAUGGGGGGCAGCGUGGGGCAGCCCAGCCUUGGGGCUGUGGGAUUAGGGAGAGCCGAGGAAGGGCUGGGAGACCGCGUUGGUGGCUUUGUGGCCGGGUUUCACGCGUGGGCAGGGAGCAGACUGACAGAGACCGACUGACAGACCGGGGCGGGCGGCGUGUAGGGGGCGAGCUCCCCGCUCCUGCCGUCCCCCUUCUCCCUGCCCACCAACAGCGCCGAGACCCCCAGCCUUAGGAAAGGAGGGGAAAGAGGAGGAGGAGGAGGAGACCGACCCUCAUCAGCAGCUUGCCUCCACCACACGCCUCCCCUUCUCCCCUCCCUCUGGCCUCAGCGCCGCGCUGGCGGGGGCCGGCGAGGGCAGGCGACGCGGGAAGGCGGCUCUCAGCAUGGACGAGCCAUGUGUAUCCUAAGGAAUAACAGCAGCUGCUGCGCCCACGAUGGGGAGCAGAGGAACGCCAGGAGGAGAGGGCUCGCUGGGGCAGAAUCAAAGAACCUGUGUGUGACAUCGUCAUGAAUGAGAGAAGAAAGUAAUACAGUAUUGGAUGUGCCUGUUUGCUGCCACUGUUUAGAGAGAAAAUGAUGCAUUAUGGGGAAUCACACAAAAGGAGCGAAUGAGAUGAACUGUUUGGGUUAUAGAAUCUGAAAGGCUAAAUUAUUUUCUUGGCGAGACGUUCUAAAUGAGCCUGACCGAGAUACUGGAUCUGUGUGAAGAGGACUAAGGAUAUAGGAUGUCAACUGAGACAGAACUUCAAGUGGCUGUUAAAACCAGCACAAAGAAAGACUCCAAAAAGAAAGAGGCACCACCAGGACAGCAGCACCACUGGAGCAGGAGAGAGGCUUCCCUCAGCUGCCUUGUGUUAGGGGCUUGUGUGCUCCCACUGGCACUGCUGGGCACAGGCAGCUCCUAGGAGGAGGUAGGAUUCUUGGUAGAAGGAAGUUUAAAGGAUAGUUUGCUGAAGUUUUAUGUUGUACUGUGGAGACACCACUUUGUUAACGUAAUAGACACCAACAGAGUUCUCUUGUUGACCCUACAGCACGGAGGUAGGUAAGGUAAGCUGAAAGUACUCCAGGACUGCAGACAUUUCAGCGUGCCUGUGGGGUGGUGAAGGGAAAAGUUUGCAUCCAUCACAUGCCAGUUGCAUUCAUACACUGUAACCGAGAGUUUUCAGUAGGAUCCUAUAAAGAAAAGACAUACUUAUUUCCUUGAAAAUGACUAAUUGUAAAAGAAAUUUACUCAAGGAACAUUGUUAGAGGAAGAGAACACAGGUGGUGACACCAGAAAUUAAACUGUGUGCACGCACACUGCUAGAUACUAGGUGUUCUCUCUUCUAAAAUCUGUUACCUUAAAAAAGUGAAAAGGUUUUAUUUUGGUAUCAGAUUCCUAGGUGCAGCACAGCGUUUUUGGGCAGUUGUGCUCCCAAAGUCUUCAGUGGCAAACACAAUCUGACAGCUUGGAGUUUUCUACCUUUAACAGAGAAGUUCAAAAAUGAGAUUAACAGGAAAAUUUGGAUCUAUUAGUAGUAGUAGUUCUAGUUUUAAGAUCCAGUGUAGAUAUACUGCUCUGAAAUAUGUUAUGCCUGUGAAAGAGUAGUUGUGCUCCCAAGGUGCUGUGGUCUUGAUAACAAAAUCCAUUCCGUGGUGUUUUUGGGCCUUGGGCAUCAGACCUGUGGUUCUGGGCAGCCAUUGAGAAAAUGGAGCCAGCAAGGAGAAUAACCUGACUGAGCUGUUCCUGAUUCCUUCAGGACCUGCUUGUUGUACUGAAAGGUACCUAUAAUUA